GGGAUUCCUUUAUGAGGUGCAACCAAAACAGCUGUUUGACAUUGCAACAGGGAUAUUAUGGCAGGCUGUCGAGAAUUAGUUCUUGAAUACUGUUAUGGUUUUGAUCACUAAAAUGGCUGUGACUUUUGGACUCUCUUUGAGUGUUUCUUGGAUUUGUUGCCUGCUAAUUGGAGGGAUAACUUGUUUUACACUUAAAGGUAAUGCUCAUGGGCAUCCUGCCUACACUGGACCUGAACCGACUGGAUCCUAUGCCCAAGCAAGUGUGGUGUCUGGUCCAAAUGUUAAAGCUACUGGCCACAAUGCCACGUGAGCGGAAGCUACUGGCCACAAUGCCACGUGAGCGGAAGCUACUGGCCACAAUGCCACGUGAGCGGAAGCUACUGGCCACAAUGCCACGUGAGCGGAAGCUACUGGCCACAAUGCCACGUGAGCGGAAGCUACUGGCCACAAUGCCACGUGAGCGGAAGCUACUGGCCACAAUGCCACGUCAGCGGAAGCAACUGGCCACAAAGCCACGUCAGCGGAAGCUACUGGCCACAAUGCCACGUCAAGUGUGAAGUCCGGCCCCUCAGCAGAAGCUUCAGGCCCCGGCGCCUCAGCAGAAGCUUCAGGCCCCGGCGCCUCAGCAGAAGCUUCAGGCCCCGGCGCCUCAGCAGAAGCUUCAGGCCCCGGCGCCUCAGCAGAAGCUUCAGGCCCCGGCGCCUCAGCAGAAG